UCCAUCUCCCUCUUCCCUCUCUCGACUUCCUCCUCUCUGUUCUGGCCUCACUUUCAUUUUUCAUUGGAAAAACCGGCAGCUCCUUCCUUUGAAAGCUGAAGCCCCUUGCAGCGCCACACGUCCACGCCUCCACUUGUGUCUGUCAAUGAAAGGAGCUGUCUUCACCGAUUGUUGACUCUGUGCUGCGCGAUCUCCUCUGCCGCGCGUCUGUCCCAACGCCUGCCCUCUCCACCACCGUUUGUUUCCCCCAAGUCAACCGAAGCUCCCCACGCUGACUCACUCCGCCGAAUUACCUUCAGCAGCCCCUCACGACUUCAACCCAGCGUCCACCGAAGCCCAUCUCUGCCACGUUUGUCUCCACCAAGCGUCCCAACGUCCACUUUCCUCAGCUCUCACGCCAGCAGUUCAGUCGGCCAACCCACGCGUCUUCGAUUCAGCAGGUUUGAGUCAACAAACCGGUGGAACUCUCCCCACCGUUGACCCUUGCGGUGUCUUCGUACGCCUGCACUCCGGCCCAUCUUCUCUUCGGUUGGCCUCGGCCCAGUCCCGUAGCUGCCCAGCAUCUUUAGCUCCUUCGUCCUCUCCACGCGGCAACGAAUUCAGCCGCCUCACGUGCCAGCAUCGCCCGUAGCUGCUCCAAUUGAACCCCGUGAGUUCAGCCUCUUCUCAGAUCAGCCCAGGCAUGCGCACGUUCGGUCAGCAAACAAACCAGCCGAAGCCCUCUAUUGACCCGUGUUCCUUCCUCACGCGGGCAGCACCGAGCAAAGCAGCAGUCCACGAUUUCUUCUCCGCCAGCUCACCAUCGUCACCUGCAGUUCACGCAUUUCCUUGGCCCAACAGAAUUCAGUCUUCGGGCCCAGCAAAGCCAGCAGAUUCCAGUGUCUUCGGCCCAUCUUCUUUGCAGCAAGCAGCCCAGCGUCUUCAGUCUUGGGCCUGUGUCUCCAGCCCACGGAUCUAGCAAUUUCGGCGAGCAAGUCCAGCUCAUUGCAGCCCAGCGUUUGGACCAUCCUUCAGCAGUAAUUCGGCCCACGAUUUUAACAGUUUGUACAGCUCCUUGAGGUCAGCCCAGUCCAGCGUGGCCCAGCAAGUCUAGCCCAUCUUGGGCCCGAGAAGCAAGUCGGCCCAAGUUCGGCCGCCGUGCGUCGUCGUCGCAGUGUCCUGGUCUUCGUUUUGUGCAAGACCCUGAUGAAGAACUUGAGGAGAAAGAACCCGAAGAGGAGUACCAGAAGGAGAACUCUGAGGAUGAUCCAGAGUAGGAUCCUGAUGAGGAUUGAGACUCCACUCCUAUUUGAUGACCUUUGCCGUAGAAUCUGUUUGAGUAGAAACCAACCUUUUUAGCAUGACUGAUAUAUGUACAUGUAUGACUGAGUUGUAUAUAUGUACAUAAGGGUGUGGUUUUCAGGUUCAGAUUUCUAGUCCUACUUGUAUAUCCCAUUGCUUUAUUGUCUGGGGAUUUUUAUAA